AUUGAACGCUAGCGGGAUGCCUUACACAUGCAAGUCGAACGGAGUGGCGAACGGGUGAGUAAUGUAUCGGAACGUGCCCAGUAGCGGGGGAUAACUACGCGAAAGCGUAGCUAAUACCGCAUACUAUUGGAGCGGCCGGUAUCGGAUUGGCUAGAUGGUGGGGUAAAGGCUAACCAAGGCGACGAUCCGUAGCUGGUUUGAGAGGACGACCAGCCACACUGGGACUGAGACACGGCCCAGACUCCUACGGGAGGCAGCAGUGGGGAAUUUUGGACAAUGGGGGCAACCCUGAUCCAGCCAUCCCGCGUGUGUGAAGAAGGCCUUCGGGUUGUAAAGCACUUUUGGCAGGGAAGCGGUACCCGCAGAAUAAGCACCGGCUAACUCCGUGCCAGCAGCCGCGGUAAUUC
rnacentral:rRNA from 1 species